UUGAACGCUGGCGGCAUGCCUUACACAUGCAAGUCGAACGGUAACAGGUUAAGCUGACGAGUGGCGAACGGGUGAGUAACACAUCGGAACGUGCCCAAUCGUGGGGGAUAACGUAGCGAAAGCUACGCUAAUACCGCAUACGAUCUACGGAUGAAAGCGGGGGAUCGCAAGACCUCGCGCGAAUGGAGCGGCCGAUGGCCGAUUAGGUAGUUGGUGGGGUAAAGGCUCACCAAGGCGACGAUCCGUAGCGGGUCUGAGAGGAUGAUCCGCCACACGGGGACUGAGACACGGCCCAGACUCCUACGGGAGGCAGCAGUGGGGAAUUUUGGACAAUGGGCGAAAGCCUGAUCCAGCCAUGCCGCGUGAGUGAAGAGGGCCUUCGGGUUGUAAAGCUCUUUCAGCCGGAAAGAAAUCGCGCAGGCUAAUACUCUGCGUGGAUGACGGUACCGGAAGAAGAAGCACCGGCUAACUACGU
rnacentral:rRNA from 1 species